CAACGGUAAGCUUUUUAUUUUGAAUUUAUAAGUAUAAACAAUGCUGUUACAUUUACACUGCAAUUUUUUACUAUAAGUAUGGACAUGGAAACAAGUGAGCAACAUUUUGAAAUAAGUUUAAUUGGAAUUCUGUACACUGAAAAAAAACAAAAAACAAACAGACAGUGCCUUCAUCUGUCCAUUAAAUGUCAAACAUCACAAUGACCCAUAGUCCCUGCUCGUCAGCACAAGCUUUUAAAAAGAGCUCCAUGUCCUCUGCAAACUGAAAAACAAAGAGGAGGAAGUCCCUGUACACAAACACACUGCAGAUGACAGGCCAGGCAAACAGCUAUUGAUCUGUUUGAAUGACUCUUCAUCAUGUGAGCCUUGAAGUUUUUUUUAAGAAGACUAAGACCACAGUGAGGGCAUUUCAUUUUCAUGGACUUUCUGUUUGUAAUGUAAUGUGCUGAUAUGUGCAAAAAAAGUCAUACCCAAAUACAAUAUGUAACCCCUAUAGACAUGGUUACUAUUAUUUUUUGUCUUGUAUUAUUAUUUCCGACACCCCUUGAACACACUUUGAUUUUCCGUAGUUCAGUGAAUGCAACAUACGCACGCUGCUGCAUUAAGCUAGACAAAACGGAGCAAGACACCGAGAGCAAUCAACAAGCUACACAAGCCGUUUAUGUGUUUUGCUCUCGACCAAACCAGGUGGAGCGUGUGUUUGUUUCUUGGGAACUCCGACUGUUUUAUUUUUGUGAUCCUGGAUCUGAUCCCGAAGUGGUUCUGGAUAUGGAUGGCGAGAUGGCGAGCCAGACCCUGUGAAAACUCUUGGCGAAUCCAAAAGCAGUGUGGCCAGCUGUUCUGGAUGCAGGAGUAGAUCUACAGAUGUGAAUUACUUCAAAUCGCAGGAUUUCAGAUAAGCAAGAGCAACAACUACUUACUCCAUACGGAUCGUUUCUCUGAAAAACUAUUGAACUCACAAUAUCCUGCUCAUCAGGAGUCAGGUCUAAAGAGACUACUUAUUUUAUUUUAUUAUAUUUUGUUGUUAUUUUCAAAAGAGCGCUCUUCUCUGUUGAUCUUCUGUUAAUUUUCUAUGUUGUUUACAUUGGGUUAUUGCACCAUUGUAACAUUGUAAUAAAUCUGCCGGCUGUUCAACACUCAA